UCUAAUAUUCUAUCAAAAUCAAAAAGAAAUUGAAUCCAAAAAUUGUAACCUUUACCCUCUUCAAGAUUCAAUCUUUCAAUACUUAUUAUUAGAUGAAAACAGCAGCAGAGAUAGAUUCUUAUUAUAGAUGACCAAGAUUAGCUCAUCUAUAAUCUUCAGAUACACAGACCCACGUUUGACGUUAUUGAUCUAAUAAUGGCAUUACGUGGUCUUUGUAUCCGAAGAUUAUGGUAUAUCAGCUGCACUAACUGUCCUUUGCAAUCUUAAUUUUAGAUUUACUCGAGAUGGGGGAUUGGAGAACACUUUGAUUUGAUCUAACAAUCAAAUGGGACAAUAGCUCAGCGCUGAUAAUAAUGGUUCAUCAACUACAUGGUCUAGAUGCUGCCGAUAGGUGGAAAGAUCAAGUUGUGAACGAGUCAGAUAGGUUUUAGAAGGGGCGAUUUCACUCAUUUUGGACUUGGGGACUGCAUAGCUUAAAAGUUUUAUCCAUCUAUAUGCAUAUAUGUUAUUAAGAAGGCGUUUCUGAAAUGCUGCUUCCCUCUUGAUUAGGUUAUAUAUGCGAGGAGGCACAGGUGAGCUGCUAGGAAUGUUACCUGGGCCUGCCUUGUAUGUGAGUUGUGCGGUCUGGAAUCCCAGGAAACUGCCCAUGUUGGUAUUUGCAAGUGAUGACCUUACUACUAUGUUCAAACUGUGUUAACUUGAAGCCCAAAGAAACCCAUGAAAAUCGGGUCGUCUGGCGUAACGAUGGACGAACUUAACAUUUUCAGUAGCAAAUACAAUCAGUUCAGUGGUGGUGAUAACAAUUCAUCAAUAUCAACAUGGUCUGGAUGCUGCAAUUGGAUUGAAAGGUCAAGUUGUCUAUCUGACCUGGAGAUUACUUGUCUAUCUACACACAUAUGUUAUCUGGAAGGUGUUUCUGACAAGAUCGCUUCCCUCCUGAUUAGGUUGUAAAUGGCACAGAGGCAAUGGACAAAGUUAUGAAUUUCAGUAGCAAAUAGAAUGAAACAUCAAUCAUCUUAGUCAGGGCUGAUGAUAAUGAUUCAUCAAAUACAUGGUCUAGACGCUGCAGUUGUUGAAAAUCAAGUUGUGAACAAAUCGGAUAGGUUUUAGAAGGGGUGAUAUCAUUCAUUUCGGACUUGGGACGGCUUAAAAGGAAGGACAUUUAUCUGUCUAUAUGGAUAUAUUGGUCGGAAGGUGUUUCUGGAAUGCUGUUUUCUUUUGAUUAGGUUGGCUGUUUGGAUGUUACCUGGGACUUCCAGAGCUGUGAACUGUGCUGGAUGGAAACAGUGGAACCUGCGUAUACUGGUAUUAAUUGCAUGUGAAGGCUGUACCGUUCCAGUUAGAGGUUUAAUCUGUGUUAGCGUGAAGCACAAAAAACUCAUGAUAAUCAGGCUGUCUGCCGCAGCAAUGGGUGGACUUAAGAUCUUCAGAAUCAAAAGAUGAAGUGCCAAUCAUCUUAGUUCAGUGAUGAUUGAGUGAGAUCUUAUUCUAGCACAUGCUGUGGAUGAUGUAAAGAGAAGUCUUUUUGGCGUCGUGUAGCAGAGUCUCGCCACAUAGCUUCAAAGUCAUAUCAUGAUGAUCGAUUGCCGUCAGUUGCCAAUUCAAAUCAUCGUGUUUAGGGGAAGCAGCGAUACGUGGAGCAACUCACAACUACAGAUUAUUAUCACCAUCAGUUCAGCACCUACCUCGGAUCAGUUGCUCGUAACUAGUCAGCUUGGACACAUCAGCUCGUGAAGUACCAACCAACUCACUCGGGAUAGUCAGGUCAUUCCAGAUUAACAUACUUGGUUCGGAUCAUUCAUCUCGAUACACUCAGGACUCAUAGUCACCUAUAUACCAACUAUCAAGCUAUAUCGGAAGUAAUUAUGUCGGACCAGUCAUAGAGGUCCAUCCAAGUUCGCAAAGCUCACGAAGAUGCACCAAUUAGCUUACAAGCCACAUGAUGGAGAUAACGAGUUUAUAGGAGUUUCUUUUGUUUAAGGAUCAAGUUAGAAGUUAUAGCAAGGAACAAUGCCACUUCAUCAUCGCUAGCAGCAAGAAAAAGCUCAAGUAACUAUUCAAUCCGGUCAACUAGCUCGCUCGUAAAAUGAAGUUCACCCCUCCCUCCAUAGAUAGAGAGGAGUGUUGUCCUUGUUGGGAGAUGGGGGCUGGACGGGCAGUGGGGAAUCUGGGGAUUGACACGUAUUGUUGAUUUGAAAGUUGCAAUUUCUUGCUUUGCUGCUUACUUUCCAACCUAAAGUUCAGAAUAUGAAAACUGGAGAGAAUUCGCGUGGAAACCGCUGAAAGAAAUAGCUGGAUUGACUCAAAAAAGUAAGGCAGACGCAACAGAAUCUCCAGUCCUAAGUUUCAAAUGAUUUAUUACAAGAAGAACAACAUAUUGUAGCUUUCAGUAGAUAAUGGUAUUCAAGGACAGAACAUCAUAGACCACGUACUGCACAUGAUGAAACCAUUUUGUUACAGAUGAUACAGGCUGCUUUGUAGUCAUAAAAAAAAUCAAUGGAAUAAGCAGAGUUCUUAGUCUUAAUCGUCUUCGGAUUCCUCAUGACCGACUUCAUUUUCUUGAUUGUAUUUUCCUGAUUGUAUUCCCUCUUUUUCUCCUUCAUCAUCAAAGGAGAACUCUAUUUGUCCAUUUCCUCCCACAUACGUACCAGAGUUCUUUGAAACUAAGGUUCCAAAGUAACUCUCGUGUUCAUUGAGUUUGUUUGGCAAACCAUGAAAAUUUACUUC